rnacentral:rRNA from 1 species
CAGUAGCCGCGGGAAUACGAAGGGGGCUAGCGUUGCUCGGAAUGACUGGGCGUAAAGGGCGCGUAGGCGGUUCGUACAGUCGGAUGUGAAAUUCCUGGGCUUAACCUGGGGGCUGCAUUCGAUACGUGCGGGCUUGAGUGUGGAAGAGGGUUGUGGAAUUCCCAGUGUAGAGGUGAAAUUCGUAGAUAUUGGGAAGAACACCGGUGGCGAAGGCGGCAACCUGGUCCAUGACUGACGCUGAGGCGCGAAAGCGUGGGGAGCAAACAGGAUUAGAUACCCCAGUAGUCCCUGUCUCUUAUAA